rnacentral:lncRNA from 1 species
AGAUGAACAAGUCUUUUUCUGAGAUCAGCAAACAACUCUCCUCUCCUCCUUCCUAAACCACCCCCUUCCCGCUCACCCCCCCCAACCCCCGCCCAUGCUACGCUGUGGAGAAGGAGGAAGUUUUGAGUAGGCAUCCAAAGUCAACAGGAGUCUCAAGGGGAGAAACACGAAACCUCAUGAAACUCUAUGCAGGAAAACACCUGACCAGAAGACAAGGUUAUUGUCAGGUCCAGAGGAAACCCCACUUCCCCAAAUUCCAAAAGGCAGCACCCAGAAAUGACCGUCUUGACUCAGGGUCUGCUGAAGUAUAGGAUUACUGAAGGAUACUGCCAGCGUUCCUGAGGAACCCAUGAAAGAGUUUCUGUCCACCAGAAAGAGGGCCAGAUAUCGAUCUCCUGCAGCUCCUCCUGGUGGAUCUUGAGGUUCCUUUAAAGCACCUCCACUCCUGGAACCUUCCCUGGCUCCACUAUCGAACUGCUGGGUGGGGAUCCGUUCCUGCUAUUACCCUCUUCUACUGAGAUGGGCAGCAAGACAGGACAGCACAGCUGCUCAGCAGUUCAGAGGAUGGGGAAGUUCCAGCAAGGAAAAGCAAGAAGCUCCCGAGGAGACAGGUCGUGUAUGUGUGUAUACAUAUGUGUGUGUGUGUGUGUGUGUGUGUGUGUGUGUGUGUGUGUAUGUAUGUAUGUAUGUAUGUAUGUAUGUAUGUAUGUACAUAUAGUCUUGUGGAGUCUUACAACUUAAUACAGGCAUUGCAAAUUA